rnacentral:rRNA from 1 species
UACGUAGGUUGCGAGCGUUAUUCGGAUUUACUGGGCGUAAAGAGCACCGAGGUGGCUUCUUAAGUUGGAUGUAAAAUCUCCUGCUUAACUGGGAGGCGCCAUUCAAAACUGAGGAGCUUGAGGUCAGCAGGGGAAGGUGGAAUUCCCGGUGUAGUGGUGGAAUGCGUAGAGAUCGGGAGGAACACCAGUGGCGAAAGCGAACCUUCUGGGCUGCACCUGACACUCUAGUGCGAAAGCGUGGGGAGCAAACAGG